rnacentral:piRNA from 1 species
GUACACACGGUCUUCUGCUC